rnacentral:rRNA from 1 species
UACGUAGGGUGCAAGCGUUGUCCGGAAUUAUUGGGCGUAAAGAGCUCGUAGGCGGUCUGUCGCGUCGAAUGUGAAAACCCGGGGCUCAACCCCGAGCCUGCUUCUGAUACGGGCAGACUAGAGGUAUGCAGGGGAGAACGGAAUUCCUGGUGUAGCGGUGAAAUGCGCAGAUAUCAGGAGGAACACCGGUGGCGAAGGCGGUUCUCUGGGCAUUACCUGACGCUGAGGAGCGAAAGUGUGGGGAGCGAACAGG